UGGUUUUCUUCCUUUCUUCCUUUAAAAAAAAAAAAAAAAAAGGCCUGGUCUCCAGAGAGCUCUAAUGUGGAGAGUCCUGGGCUGCUGGAAAGGCUGGACCUAAGACACAAACUCCUCUACCUGUGACAAUGUCGGAACUCAGGGUCAAGCACUCAAGAAUGUUCCACUCGGGGAUCCGGUAUGAGCAUUACUGCUCCUACCUUAGAAGUGUCCUAUAAGAUAACCUUAGGCUAUUUAAUCUCUUCGAGCCUUGGAUUACCCUCUGUGGACAUGAGACUGAGUACUUUGAUGGGCUCCUGAAGACCAUUAAUGAGAUAAUGUGCAAAAGCUGCCCGGUACAGCAGUCACACGACCAAAGACAUGCUGUGUUUUCCACAGCUUCAGACACACAGGAUGUGCCGCCUUUGCUCUUACCUUGUGGGCUAUAUACAGUUAUAUGCUGAUGUUCACACGUGCAUCUGAAGGUCGAAGAACGAGUGUCUCUACUUGUUCAGAGAGAAUGGGAGAGGUCUCCCCACCCAACAGCAGGUCGUUUGGCACCAGAAAUCCCGCGGUAGUGUUUACAGAGGGGAAAACACAACCAGAGCUGCUCUCUAGUAUCUACUCCCAGCUCCAGAAAGGCUCUUGCUUCUGAGCUCACCUUCCUAGGGAAUGCCACAGCCACAGGGAAAGGAACGUCGUCAUCACAAAAAGAAAAUACCUAAUCCUUCCCAUCCACGUGUUUGUAAAUACUGCGGGUGGCUGGAACGAUCUUCUAUAACACAUCACUGAGCCAAUUCAAAUACUGUAGUCCCUGGAGAGGGAACAGGUAAUAUGUAGUAAUAAAUCUCCCGAUGCGUAGACUGGACAAAA